rnacentral:rRNA from 1 species
AAAGCCCAGCACCGAAGCUCCCGUCCGCAAGAACGGACGCGGCGCAAUGUGGUGUUUGGGAGGGAGUCUCCUCCGACUGCGCCAGCCUAAGUCCCCCUGACCGGGGCCACAGCCCGUGGCGGGUGCAAGGCCCUUGUGGCUAACGGCGCAGCCAACAGAGGUCGGCUCUCUCCCCAGAGUCGGGUUGCUUGAAAGUGCAGCCCUAAGUGGGUGGUAAACUCCAUCUAAGGCUAAAUACUUCCACGAGACCGAUAGCAAACAAGUACCGUGAGGGAAAGUUGCAAAGAACUUUGAAGAGAGAGUUCAAGAGUACGUGAAACCGCUUGGAGGUAAACGAGUGGGCCCUCGAAGGUCGAACGGGGGGAUUCAACCCGUCGCUUCAAUUUCCCGCACGCUAAAAAUUAAAUCGGUGACCGCAUGCGUUUAAACGGACCCUUUCGAGGGACGGCCGAUGCGAUUUGCUUCGGGGAUGGCGGCGGGCGCACUUCCCCCUCAGUAGGACGCCGCGACCGGUCGGGAAGUCUCGCGAGAGACGUAAACGCAGCCAUAAGGCGCGAAAACGGCAGGUAUCCGUUGCCGGUGUGCCACCCAUCGGACGGGGGUUUCGACCCUCGCUCCGGGGGACUCUCGGUGACCGGUCGGAGUUACAGCCAUUCGCGACCCGUUUUGCCCUGCUUCCCGACCGCCAAAUGGUCGAUCAAACGUCGAUGCGCGCCCGCGUUCUCUCAGAGACGCGCACCUCGGCGUUCGGCAGGUCGCCCGAACGACGGUCUUUCCGCGCGUCGCUAGCUCGACGGGCGAUUGCCUCGUUCCGACCCUUUGCCGACGCCUGCUCUCCGGUGCGGNNNNNNNNNNNNNNNNNNAUCAAAGUGAAGGUCCUCCCCGUUCCGGUCGUGCCGUUCUCGCGCGUUCGCGUGCGUUGGCGUCCGGCCGGGCGGGAGGGGGACCCAGGCGGGAUCCUUCGGUUCGGGGAUCAAAAAUUUUCUUUCUUCUCCUCGGAGUCGAAGAAAAACCCCGUUCCAGCCGGGUGCGUGAAACACGGAAUUUCGGCGAACGUUCCCACUACCUUUGAAUGGGCGCUCGGCGCUUCCUCUUCUGACGUUUUCUUUUCUGAAUACGGAGGAUCUGGUCGAUGCAUCGCCUUGUGGGUGAGUGUUGGGGCGCAAAAACGUUCGAUUUCCGACGGCCCGGGGGCGCACCGCCGGCCCGUCUCUACCGCCAAUCGGUGCAUUCUCUUCUCGCUUAGACCCUUUCUUCCUCCUCCGGGGGGUUGGGGGUGUUCUUUCGAGGGGAGCCCGACACGUCGGUUGGGCGGAGCAAGAGCACGCACGUUGGGACCCGAAAGAUGGUGAACUAUGCCCGGGCAGGACGAGGCCAGAGGAAACUCUGGUGGAGGUCCGUAGCGAUUCUGACGUGCAAAUCGAUCGUCGGACCUGGGUAUAGGGGCGAAAGACUAAUCGAACCAUCUAGUAGCUGGUUCCCUCCGAAGUUUCCCUCAGGAUAGCUGGUGCUCGGGAAAUUCAGUCUCAUCCGGUAAAGCGAAUGAUUAGAGGCCUUGGGGCCGAAACGACCUCAACCUAUUCUCAAACUUUCAAUGGGUGAGAUGUCCGGCUUGCUUAAACCGAGCGAUCGCUCGGGGUCCCUGUUUCGCGCACGCCUCAAAGGACGCGAUUCACAUAAAACCUCGCAGCCCUCGCCGAUGAAGCACGGACAUUGGAUGAGAGUGCCCAGUGGGCCACUUUUGGUAAGCAGAACUGGCGCUGUGGGAUGAACCAAACGCCGGGUUACGGCGCCGAAUGCGGACGCUUAUCAGACCCCAUGAAAGGUGUUGGUUGCUAUUGACAGCAGGACGGUGGCCAUGGAAGUCGGAA